CACGUAGGGUGCGAGCGUUGUCCGGAAUUAUUGGGCGUAAAGAGCUUGUAGGCGGUUUGUCGCGUCUGCUGUGAAAUCUCAAGGCUCAACCUUGAGCUUGCAGUGGGUACGGGCAGACUAGAGUGUGGUAGGGGGAGACUGGAAUUCCUGGUGUAGCGGUGAAAUGCGCAGAUAUCAGGAGGAACACCGAUGGCGAAGGCAGGUCUC
rnacentral:rRNA from 1 species